rnacentral:rRNA from 1 species
AAACGGUCAAGCUACAAAGGGCGCAGGGCGAAUGCCUUGGCACCGGAAGCCGACGAAGGACGUGGCCAGCUGCGAAAAGCUGUGGGGAGCCGCAAGCAGGCAUUGAUCCACAGAUAUCCGAAUGGGGAAACCCACCGGGAUUCAUACCCCGGUACGGUAUACUGAAUUCAUAGGUAUAUCGAGGGAACCGCCUGAACUGAAACAUCUAAGUAGGGCGAGGAAGAGAAAUCAAACGAGAUUCCGAAAGUAGUGGCGAGCGAAAUCGGAAUAGGCCAAACCGGAGGUAGAAAUACGUCCGGGGUUGAGGACUGCAUUUAGCAUUGUCAAGCUGUAGCAGAAGUGCAUGGGAAGGCACACCACAGAGGGUGAUAGUCCCGUAAGCGAAACGGUAAGACAGCGAGCAGUAUCCAGAGUACCGCGGGGCACGAGGAAUCCCGUGGGAAGCCGGGGGGACCACCCUCCAAGCCUAAAUACUAACCGGUGACCGAUAGCGUAUAGUACUGUGAAGGAAAGGUGAAAAGCACCCCGGGAGGGGAGUGAAAUAGAACCUGAAACCCUGUGCCUACAAGCACCUACAGCACGUCAACGUGUGGUAGGGUACCUUUUGUAGAAUGGUCCGGCGAGCGUAUGUAUGCAGCAAGGUUAAGGACUUUAAAGUCCGCAGCCGAAGGGAAACCAAGUCUGAAUAGGGCGUCAAGUUGCAUGCAUAGGGCCCGAAACCGGGUGACCUAUCCAUGUCCAGGCUGAAGUGGAGGUAAAACUCCAUGGAGGGCCGAACCAACCCCCGUUGAAAAGGUGGUGGAUGAGGUGUGGAUAGCGGAGAAAUUCCAAUCGAACCCGGAGAUAGCUGGUUCUCCCCGAAAUAGCUUUAGGGCUAGCCUCAUAAGAGAUUACCGGAGGUAAAGCACUGAAUGGUCUAGGGGCCGAGAGGCUACCGAAGCCUAUCAAACUCUGAAUGCCGGAUAAUUGCUUUAUGGGAGUCAGACUGCGUGAGAUAAGUUUCGCGGUCGAAAGGGAAACAGCCCAGACCCACAGCUAAGGUCCCAAAAUAUCGUUAAGUGUAGAAGGAUGUGGAGUUGUUAAAACAACCAGGAUGUUGGCUUAGAAGCAGCCACACAUUUAAAGAGUGCGUAAUAGCUCACUGGUCGAAUGACUCUGCGCCGAAAAUGUAACGGGGCUAAACGAUAUACCGAAGCUUGGGCUUGACGAGUAAUCGUCAGGGGUAGGGGAGCGUUGUGUAAGGGGUGAAGUCGUAGCGUAAGCGACGGUGGACAUUACACAAGUGAGAAUGCCGGAAUGAGUAGCGAGAAUUAUGUGAGAAUCAUAAUGGCCGAAAGCCUAAGGUUUUUGGAGGAAGGUUCGUCCGCUCCAAGUUAGUCGGGAGCUAAGGCGAGGCCGAGAGGCGUAGCCGAUGCACAUACGGUUGAAAUUCCGUAACCUCUGAAGGAUUUAAGCACAGGGACACUUUCAAAGUCCAUGUCCCGGGCGUUGGUAGACCCGGGCGUAAGGGAUCGAAAUUAAGUAGGGAAGCAUGGAUAGAGGAAGGCAAGAAAAGCUGUGUGUAUAUCUGAGGAGCCCGUACCGCAAACCGACACAGGUAGGUAGGAAGAAAAUUCUAAGGCCAACGGGAGAAGGGUUGUUAAGGAACUCGGCAAGUUGACCCCGUAACUUCGGGAUAAGGGGUGCUCUGGAAACAGAGCCGCAGAGAAUAGGCCCAGGCGACUGUUUAGCAAAAACACAGGUUUGUGCUAAAUCGAAAGAUGAAGUAUACGAGCUGACACCUGCCCGGUGCUGGAAGGUUAAGAGGAGAAGUGCAAGCUUUGAAUCGAAGCCCCAGUAAACGGCGGCCGUAACUAUAACGGUCCUAAGGUAGCGAAAUUCCUUGUCAGGUAAGUUCUGACCCGCACGAAUGGUGUAACGAUCUGGGCACUGUCUCAACAACCCGCCCGGCGAAAUUGUAGUACCGGUGAAGAUGCCGGUUACCCGCGACAAGACGGAAAGACCCCAUGGAGCUUUACUGUAGCCUAAUAUUGGAUUUUGGUAUUUCAUGUACAGGAUAGGUGGGAGGCUGAGAAGCCGGUACGUCAGUAUCGGUGGAGCCGCCGUUGGGAUACCACUCUUGAAGUACCGAAAUUCUAACCUGCGGCCAUGAAUCUGGUCGGGGGACAUUGUUAGGUGGGCAGUUUGACUGGGGCGGUCGCCUCCAAAAGAGUAACGGAGGCGCUCAAAGGUUCGCUCAGCAUGGACGGAAACCAUGCUUUUGAGUGUAAACGCAUAAGCGAGCCUAACUGCGAGACCUACAAGUCAAGCAGUAACGAAAGUUGGAGUUAGUGAUCCGGCGGUAUGUGAGUGGAAAUGCCGUCGCUCAACGGAUAAAAGCUACCCUGGGGAUAACAGGCUGAUCUCCCCCAAGAGUCCACAUCGUCGGGGAGGUUUGGCACCUCGAUGUCGGCUCAUCGCAUCCUGGGGCUGUAUUCGGUCCCAAGGGUUUGGCUGUUCGCCAAUUAAAGCGGUACGCGAGCUGGGUUCAGAACGUCGUGAGACAGUUCGGUCCCUAUCUGUCGUGGGCGUAGGAUAUUUGAAAGGAGCUGUCCCUAGUACGAGAGGACCGGGAUGGACGCACCUCUGGUGCACCAGUUGUCACGCCAGUGGCACAGCUGGGCAGCUAUGUGCGGAACGGAUAAACGCUGAAGGCAUCUAAGCGUGAAACCGCCCUUAAGAUAAGAUAUCCCACUGAGUAAUCAGGUAAGACCCCUUGAAGACUACAAGGUUGAUAGGCUCAAUGUGUAAGCGCCGUGAGGCGUUAAGCUUGCGAGUACUAAUCGGUCGAGGGCUUGACCUA